rnacentral:rRNA from 1 species
UGGGGAAUAUUGGACAAUGGGGGGAACCCUGAUCCAGCAAUGCCGCGUGUGUGAAGAAGGCCUGAGGGUUGUAAAGCACUUUCAGAGGGGAGGAGGACUAUUAGGUUAAGAGCUAGAUAGUUGGACGUUACCCUCAGAAGCAGCACCGGCUAACUCCGUGCCAGCAGCCGCGGUAAUACGGGGGGUGCAAGCGUUAAUCGGAAUUAUUGGGCGUAAAGGGUGCGUAGGCGGCAUGACAAGUCACUUGUGAAAUCUCUGGGCUUAACCCAGAACGGCCAAGUGAUACUGUCGCGCUAGAGUGCAGAAGGGGCAAUCGGAAUUCUUGGUGUAGCGGUGAAAUGCGUAGAUAUCAAGAGGAACACCUGAGGUGAAGACGGGUUGCUGGGCUGACACUGACGCUGAGGCGCGAAAGCCAGGGGAGCAAACGGGAUUAGAUACCCACGUAGUCCCUGAGCGGGCUGGCAAGGCGCAU